GAUGAACGCUGGCGGCGUGCCUAAUACAUGCAAGUCGAGCGAACAGAUGAGGAGCUUGCUCCUCUGACGUUAGCGGCGGACGGGUGAGUAACACGUGGAUAACCUACCUAUAAGACUGUGAUAACUUCGGGAAACCGGAGCUAAUACCGUAUAAUAUAUUGAACCGCAUGGUUCAAUAGUGAAAGACGGUUUUGCUGUCACUUAUAGAUGGAUCCGCGCCGCAUUAGCUAGUUGGUAAGGUAACGGCUUACCAAGGCAACGAUGCGUAGCCGACCUGAGAGGGUGAUCGGCCACACUGGAACUGAGACACGGUCCAGACUCCUACGGGAGGCAGCAGUAGGGAAUCUUCCGCAAUGGGCGAAAGCCUGACGGAGCAACGCCGCGUGAGGGAUGAAGGUCUUCGGAUCGUAAAACUCUGUUAUUAGGGAAGAAAAAAUGUGUAAGUAACUAUGCACGUAUUGACGGUACCUAACCAGAAAGCCACGGCUAACUACGUG
rnacentral:rRNA from 1 species